rnacentral:rRNA from 1 species
CUGGCGGCAGGCCUAACACAUGCAAGUCGAGCGCACCCCUCGGGGCGAGCGGCGGACGGGUUAGUAACGCGUGGGAACGCGCCCUUCUCUACGGAAUAGCCUUUGGAAACGAAGAGUAAUACCGUAUACGCCCUUCGGGGGACAGAUUUAUCGGAGAAGGAUCGGCCCGCGUUAGAUUAGAUAGUUGGUGGGGUAACGGCCUACCAAGUCUACGAUCUAUAGCUGGUUUGAGAGGAUGAUCAGCAACACUGGGACUGAGACACGGCCCAGACUUCUACGGAAGGCAGCAGUGGGGAAUCUUUGGACAAUGGGCGCAAGCCUGAUCCAGCCAUGCCGCGUGAGUGAUGAAGGCCUUAGGGUCGUAAAGCUCUUUCACCAGGGAUGAUAAUGACAGUACCUGGAAAAGAAACCCCGGCUAACUCCGUGCCAGCAGCCGCGGUAAUACGGAGGGGGUUAGCGUUGUUCGGAAUUACUGGGCGUAAAGCGCACGUAGGCGGACUGGAAAGUUGGGGGUGAAAUCCCGGGGCUCAACCUCGGAACUGCCUCCAAAACUAUCAGUCUAGAGUUCGAGAGAGGUGAGUGGUAUUCCAAGUGUAGAGGUGAAAUUCGUAGAUAUUUGGAGGAACACCAGUAGCGAAGGCGGCUCACUGGCUCGAUACUGACGCUGAGGUGCGAAAGUGUGGGGGAGCAAACAGGAUUAGAUACCCUGGUAGUCCACACCGUAAACGAUGAAUGCCAGUCGUCGGCAGUAUAC